CACACGCGCAUUACGCUCGUCAAGUUCGAAAAGAGAGAGAUGGACAUGAAGGAGGGAAAAGCAUAGCGACGAAGAAGAGCUUUGGCUUGAACCCUAGCGAGAGCGAGAGGAGAGAGAAAGGGUUGGGGUGUAUUGAAUGUACAGCCACAACGAUGGCUUCGCUGGUUCUGUUUGCAAUUGAGUGUGAAUGGGGUUGCCUGUUUUGGAAUGCAAUUAUGGUUUCGAUUCCUCUUUGGCAGUUCCAAACCAUCGAGAUUAUAAGAAUCCCUACCCACCCAAGACAAUAUCUUCGCUGCGUUAGAGAGAGAGAGAAGCACACAAACACAGAGAGAGAGAGAGAGAGAGAGAGUGAGGCAGAGAGAACUCCAACUCCAGGACCAGAGCUCUUUGUGAAUUCUUCUUGCUUCCAUUAUAUUCUUUCUGGGCUGCAGUUUUUGAACUCCUAAGGGGUUUGAGGUGAUCUUGUGAUCUAAAAAUUCCGAAGGCACCCCAAUACCUUUCCGUUUCAAAGAUAUUAAUGUUUGGCAGGAACAUUAAUUAGCCUUUAUGGAACACAGAAGCCACUCCUCUAAUUCCCUGAACCUGGAAGAAAAUAUGGGAACCUUUCAGAGAAACACUUGUCAGAGAACUGAUCCAGGAGCUGAGCAAAGCAUUCUGUUCUC